GAUUAAAGCCAUAUCACACUGCAGCCCAGGACUGGUCGCUCACUGAAUCUAAACAGGGCUGAGCCUGGUUGGUACCUAGAUGGGAGCCCACUAGGGACAACUAGGUUGCUGUUGGAG
rfam:Danio rerio chromosome 11, GRCz11 reference primary assembly.